AUUGAACGCUGGCGGCAGGCUUAACACAUGCAAGUCGAGCGGGGAAAGGUAGCUUGCUACUUGACCUAGCGGCGGACGGGUGAGUAAUGCUUAGGAAUCUGCCUAUUAGUGGGGGACAACAUCUCGAAAGGGAUGCUAAUACCGCAUACGUCCUACGGGAGAAAGCAGGGGACCUUCGGGCCUCGCGCUAAUAGAUGAGCCUAAGUCGGAUUAGCUAGUUGGUGGGGUAAAGGCCUACCAAGGCGACGAUCUGUAGCGGGUCUGAGAGGAUGAUCCGCCACACUGGGACUGAGACACGGCCCAGACUCCUACGGGAGGCAGCAGUGGGGAAUAUUGGACAAUGGGGGGAACCCUGAUCCAGCCAUGCCGCGUGUGUGAAGAAGGCCUUUUGGUUGUAAAGCACUUUAAGCGAGGAGGAGGCUACCGAGAUUAAUACUCUUGGAUAGUGGACGUUACUCGCAGAAUAAGCACCGGCUAACUCUGUGCCAGCCGCCGCAGUAACAC
rnacentral:rRNA from 1 species